rnacentral:rRNA from 1 species
UACGAAGGGGACUAGCGUUGUUCGGAAUUACUGGGCGUAAAGGGCUCGUAGGCGGCCAACUAAGUCAGACGUGAAAUCCCUAGGCUCAACCUAGGAACUGCGUCUGAUACUGGAUGGCUUGAAUCCGGGAGAGGGAUGCAGAAUUCCAGGUGUAGCGGUGAAAUGCGUAGAUAUCUGGAGGAAUACCGGUGGCGAAGGCGGCAUCCUGGACCGGCAUUGACGCUGAGGCGCGAAAGCUAGGGGAGCAAACGGGG